rnacentral:rRNA from 1 species
UACAGAGACUGCAAGCGUUAUUCGGAUUCACUGGGCGUAAAGGGUGCGCAGGUGGCCAAGUGUGUGAGGCGUGAAAGCCCGGGGCUUAACCCCGGAAUUGCACCUCAAACUACAUGGCUAGAGCAUUGGAGAGGGGAGCAGAAUUCACGGUGUAGCAGUGAAAUGCGUAGAUAUCGUGAGGAAUACCAGAGGCGAAGGCGGCUCCCUGGACAAUUGCUGACACUCAGGCACGAAAGCGUGGGGAGCAAAAGGG